rnacentral:tRNA from 1 species
UUUUAAGAAUUAAUGUAUUAUUUUUAAUUUCGACUUAAAGCUAGGCUAGAUAGCCCUUUUAAUUAAAACCAUAAGGUAAAUUAUUGU